ensembl:lncRNA
GGUGGAGCCUCCACCUCUCUUAGACCUCAUUUAAGGACUGACUGCCACUGAGGAAGGAUCUCUUUCUGGAGUUCCCUCUUUGGUGAAGCUUUCCCCUGUGCACCUAGAAUCUUCUGAUACAGGCAGGUGGAUCCCAGCCAAGCCCACAGUCACACCAUUAUUUUGGACAUUGGUUAUCAGCAAUGCACACAGAAAAGCUGGGUUAGGAGUGCAGCUUUCAGAAGAAACAGUACUGAUAAACCUGGAAAUACCCUCAGACCUCCUAUGACACAGGAACAAGCUGAGCUGGGAGUCCACCAGGUAUUUUGCCAUCCCCAGCCAGACCAAACUUGAAGGAACGGAUAGAGGUCCUGCAGUCCACUGAUCACUGGGGAGGGAAUAUCAGUUUGUGUCCUGCUCAGGAAUUGUAUCUGCACUGAAAUAGAAGAGAAAACCUUAGAAACCUUGUUGGUGUUUGAUGCUACUGAUGUUUGUCACUAAAUGUGGGAUAUGUAGGUAUUCGAGGCCAGGUUGGAUGGGGGCCUUGGGCAACCUGAUCUGGUGCCUGAUUUUGUGGCUGGCAA